rnacentral:rRNA from 1 species
GGGCCCGCACAAGCAGUGGAUUAUGUGGUUUAAUUCGAAGCAACGCGAAGAACCUUACCAGGUCUUGACAUCCUGCGACAGCCUAGGAGACUAGGAUUUCCUUCGGGACGCAGAGACAGGUGGUGCAUGGUUGUCGUCAGCUCGUGUCGUGAGAUGUUGGGUUAAGUCCCGCAACGAGCGCAACCCUUACGGUUAGUUGCUACGCAAGAGCACUCUAGCCGGACUGCCGUUGACAAAACGGAGGAAGGUGGGGAUGACGUCAAAUCAUCAUGCCCUUUAUGACCUGGGCCUACACACGUAAUACAAUGGCGCGCAACAAUGGGCAGCGAAAGGGCGACCUGGAGCGAAUCCCCAAAACGCGUCUCAGUUCGGAUCGCAGGCUGCAACUCGCCUGCGUGAAGUCGGAAUUGCUAGUAAUCGUGGAUCAGCAUGCCA